rfam:Asian citrus Psyllid, Diaphorina citri - Florida Strain, whole genome shotgun sequence.
GAAGCAAGCUAGACAGUCGCUGGUUAUUUUAAUAAAAUUAUAACGAGAGGAAGGUCCGGACUCCAUAGAGCAAGAUGGCGGCUAACAGCCGUCCGCCGAAAACUAAAGUAUAAGGCGAGGAAUAGGACCACAGAGACGAGCGUAUUUAAAUUACGGUGAAACGCGGUAACCUCCAUCUGGAGCAAUUCCAAAUAGUACGCAUUGAUGUUGCUCGCGGAGCGUACGGGUAGGGAGCUUGAAUGUUAAAGUAAUUUAACAUCUAGAAGAAUGACUGUCAUAACAACUGUUAAAACAAAAUCCGGCCUAUAAGCUUGCUUCAAAA